CCUACGGGUGGCAGCAGUGGGGAAUAUUGGGCAAUGGGCGCAAGCCUGACCCAGCAACGCCGCGUGAAGGAAGAAGGCCCUCGGGUUGUAAACUUCUUUUGUCAGGGACGAAACAAAUGACGGUACCUGACGAAUAAGCCACGGCUAACUACGUGCCAGCAGCCGCGGUAAUACGUAGGUGGCAAGCGUUAUCCGGAUUUACUGGGUGUAAAGGUGGGGUAGGCGGGAGAGCAAGUCAGAUGUGAAAUUCCGGGGCUCAACCCUGGAACUGCAUUUGAAACUGUUUUUCUUGAGGGAUGGGGAGGCAGGCGGAAUUCCGGGUGUAGCGGUGAAAUGCGUAGAUAUACGGAGGAACACCAGUGGCGAAGGCGGCCUGCUGGACAUUAACUGACGCUGAGGCGCGAAGGCGUGGGGAGCAAACAGGAUUAGAUACCCGGGUAGUC
rnacentral:rRNA from 1 species